rfam:Nostoc calcicola FACHB-389 FACHB-389_Scaffold_23, whole genome shotgun sequence.
UUAAUUGAAUAGGCAAAGCCGGAGACAGCAGGUGCUAAUAGCUUAAUAUCCUGCCGAGGUUAAAACUCUAAUUGCCAGAAUUACCACCGAUAAAGGUGUGAGAACUAUGGCGUCAGGAGUCUUACUACUUAACCCCGGCUAUGUCAGCUGGGGUUUGUUGUUUUGGAU